rnacentral:lncRNA from 1 species
UGACACAUUUUAUUUAGUCCUUUGAUAUGUGAAGGCAAAUACACAAGCGUCUAGCGACAAGUAACGUGAAAGUUGAGGCAUACUAUUACUACCUCUUGAUUAGGCUUAUUAAUUGGUGACAGCAAUACCUAGUAUUAUAAAGUAAACUUGUUGCUUAACUUAAUUAUAUAUAUAUAUAUAUAUAACCAGCACAGCAGAAACGAACAAACAAAAAUUACAGCAGAUGAUGAACUAUAUGUCUAACAGAGCUUCCUCAAUCCAAAAUAAAAGGCAUCGUCUCAGGGGAACACAAGUUUUCUGGGCAUAUAUGAGUUGUAAUCUCUGAUUCCACAAAGAGAGGCAUGUAUAAAGCCAGCUUCGUUGGGGUAAGCUAAUAGUCAAUACUGCCGUAGCUUCUCCAACCCACUAUUUCUCUUCUCUUCUGUAUACCAUGCCGAGGUGCGAGCGGAGAAAAAGCCAGGAUUCAAAUAUGGCAACAAAUUGCUAAGACUAACAUAACAAUACGGAUUGCAAGUAGCUAGCAAGUAGAAACAUGAACAGAUACGGUGGGAACUAAUAAUAUACUUACACGAUUUUCCACGUGGGUAUAAAGAAGAGUUGCAAACAUACAUAUAUAGAUUAGAAUUAGAUAGAUCAUCGUCAAGCUUCAUAGUCUCAUUAGGUGUUUGAUCCAAAUCAUGUUGGACCUAAUUACUCCUUUUAUUCUUGUUUUCCUUUGUAACUAAAGAGCUUUAUUUUGGAUGUCAUCUUAUCUAGAAUGAUUUUUGCUAAGUUAAUGCUUCUGAUCAUAAUUUCUUUAGAUGAUAGGUCCACAACCAUAUUGAACCUAGUUCCUCUUAAUUUUAUCCCGGAUGUCAUUUUGUUUGGAAUAAUCUUUCCUUAGUUAAAAGGUACAUAUUUCAAGAUCUGGCUCCUAGAAAAUUGGAUACUUAUACUUUUUAAAAUAUAAUAAAAUAAAGGCAAUCCCUAAGUUGUGUUUAACGUAACGUGCAAUCUGGAAAAUCUUGACCGUUCAAAGUGUUAAAAUCUAAUCCAACGACUGAUGUUUAAUUCAUCCAAAAGUUGUAAAGGACGGGAAACCGGUUGAAUUGGUUUGCCCAUUUGACAAUCUUCUCUGCCUCUCCAAUAACCUUUUCUUGCUCCUCCAUUGCCUUCGACAGUAUCUUUUCCUAUUUUUAACAAAAAAAAGUACUCAAAUCCGACAAGAACUCAUCAUUCUUUAUACCCCAAUCAAGAUCAUCACCAAGAAAUUGGACUUCCCUACUCUUUUUCUUUGAAGCACUCUAUAGAGAACAUCAAAAAUAGCCCUUUCUCUGCGGCGGAGACGGCAAAGAAGAAGGCGAAGAACUCAAC